AGCAAGUGCUGUCACAACAACACUUAUGACCUCACAGAAGGAGCUAGAGCUCUCAAGGUUACAAGAGAUUUUUCAGGGAGGGACUAAUGAUGGUGUCACUGAGAACCUCCAUAUCCUACCUGCUGAACAGCUUUGCUUUCAUUGACCAAUUUUGAGAGUGCCUUUUCCAGGUUGAUGUUGCGUGCUGGCUUGCUGUCCAUUGCUUCCAUUAUGUUUCUGCAUAGGACUGACAGGAGGGUAGCAUUAUUUUCCUCUGGAAGGCACAAUGGAGCAGCCGACUGAAACAGCUGCACAGAUGCACGGCCAAACAUUGGAUGGAGCUCAGUGAGUUCCACUGGAGAGCUGAGGGAAGGGCUGGAGAAGCAGAGGAGCUUAACGGGUUUCACGAUAUUCCAUGACAAAACCAAAUUUACACAGUAUCGUUCCACAUAUCCAGUCCUACAAAGGAUAAUCAAUGGCAAAGUCCAACACAUUGUGGCAA